CAUAUACACAUUAUUUUAUUGAUAUAAAACCAAAAGAUUCACGGUAACACUGCAAUGAAAUACUGUUUGUGAAAAUCCUGGUGUUGACGGAAAUGGAGGUACAAGUUUGGUUAUGUCUGUGUUUUUUACUUCAUUGCACACUACAUGGAACAUCUUAUUCGGGAAAACUUUUGUACUCAACAUACUCUUUAAUUAAGGAAUUCGAUGUUGAUACACGCAAUGUAACUAUCCUGUUAGAGCUUGGAAGUAGUCAUGUGUUUGCCAUAGACUAUGAUUACAAAAACAGAUUCAUUUAUUUUCCAAGAUACAAUACAUUUUAUGACAUCGUUCGAUUUGCAUAUCCUUCAAAGAUUAUAACAUUGCAGACAAUUGUCAAGACAAGUUCAUAUCCAUCAGGAAUAGCUGUUGAUUCAGCAACUGAUCAUAUCUACUGGACUGAAUCUCAUGGUAAACUCUCAAAAUGCAAUCUAGUUGGAAUUAAUGUAGCAACUGUUGUAUCUUCACUAAAAAAUCCUUGGGUGAUACGACUUGAUAUUACAAACAGGUGGAUGUAUAUAGUUGAACAUUAUAUAGGAAUAUUGAAGUCUACUUUCGAUUUAUCUGAAAAGCGGACGAUCGUUAACUUCACAUCAACACCUGUUUAUUGCAUGGAUUUAG